UGUGUCGCACAUCCUAGGUCCUUGUCGUCGGGUUUCGUGCGUGCUCGCGUUUACCGUCGAGUCGUCGAACUCGUCAUCCUCUGCUCAAACUCCACCUCACCAGCUCGCUUCAAACACGAUCUCGUCGUCAAGCUUCGCCUUAGCCUUAUCUCGUCGGUCACGCUCGCCAGAUGUUCGAUCAAGGACUUCAGCCGAAGGAUGUCAUCGUUCAGGCAACUACCAAAUCGAGUUGUGAUGUGGUGAGCUGAUUCGCUAUUUUUACUAUCGGUUUUAUGAUCGUAAAAUAAGACGCUACGUAUGCGCAUACGAUUAAGUUAGAAAUACCAGUAAGGCGAGGUGUGCUUCGAGGAGUUUAGUUGCUGAAUAUAUUCGAACUAGUUCUAUUUUGUAUAAUAUAGUAUUUCGGUGACACGUAGGUUAAAUUUAGUAUUUUAAAAUGUCUAGACAAUAAUAUGGUUAGUAUUACUAUUGACGAAUUAUAAUUGUUUGAUAAAAUUAAAUUGGUUCUUGGGAAGCAAGGUGGUAUAAUUUAUAAAGCGGGGAUGAAUUUAGCAUUUAACCAAUUAGCUAAUGAGUUGUGUUUAGGCUGAUUAUGUUUAAUGUGUUGUUCGUGAUGUUUGCGUUAGGUUCGUUUUAAUCUAGAAAACAGUGAGUAUUGCGCUUAGUCGUACGCUGAUAACUAGUGUUUUUCGUAGAAAAUAGUACAACGUCUCGCCGCUAGGUGUUUAAUUCACCGUCGUGUAGCCUUAUUUAGGUUUGUGAUAUUCUUGUUUAUAUGCAUUCAUGUGCAUUAUGCAAAUCAUUUAGGUACGUUGAUUAACCAUGAGAUGCGGAGAACUUGAGUCAAGUCGACCCCAAGCGUGGGCUAAUCCGUAGGAUGAAGCUGAUGGACCAACCUGAAGAUGGUUAAAUCAAGCAAGUGCUCGAUCGAGGGAUACUCGUCAAGUGGUCGUCGCCUAACAACACUAACCUAGUGUUACCCAGGCAAGCCCCGGUGCAUGCAACCCCUUUCCUUGUGUUUUAAAUACCUUUCGCACACUUAAGUCUAGUGAAAUGUGCAUUAGGUUCAUAGGAGUUACUUGAAACCCUUUGAUGCAUUGCUUUCCUUGAUAUCCAUACCUUUAUAGAUACUUCUGUGAAGUAUCAAAAUAUGAUUUACAAAAAUGCUUAGCCUUGCUUAGAUCUUGUGGAUAGAGGUUGUCCUCCAUCUAACCCGGGAGAGGAUGGCUUCUACCUGCAAGUAUAUUUUCAUUUGGAGCAAUGAUGGGAUCUUACUGCAAAGUUCCCUGCGAUGCUCUUUUCAUCCUCAGGAACAGAAACAAUCCUAAGGAUGGAAGUACUUAAAUCGAGACUUGGGCUAGGAACAGGUGAUGCUCCGCCCGGGUCAAUUAAGGAUUGGAUGCGUAUGUAGGCCUGUUGAUCAAGGACUAUCUUAUCUAGCCACAUGCCCUGAGAAUGGGACAGGGUAAGCUUGAACCCGGCUAUUCCAUACAUGAAAAGACAAUCGCGCACUGGGCGUGGAGAGAUGGCGAGAGUGGCACGUACCCUCCUGGCAACGGAUCGCCUAAAAGGGGUGGUGUACUCUCGGGUGGCGCGGACCUGUUCAUGCAGUGGAGGAUCCGUGGGAAUAGUAGACAUCAAGGUUUACGAGAAACAUAUGUCGUGUGGUUAGAAAUCCUCAGCUGAGUAAAUCGAUUCGGAUCGCCGUUAUAUCCCCGGAGAGUGGAGACUUGAGCUCCGACCUACAACCUAAGUCAAGAUGUGAACACUAUGGAUAAAAAUGAUGUUGUAUUGAUGAGAUGAUGAAACUAGACUAGAUGCAAACAGAGUCUAUUAAAUAUUUAAUCUGGCGUUAAAAUAUUGAAAGUAAGGACUCACUUUAGUAAGCUAUUUCUGCAAAAGUAUCUAAGUUGAUUCUUGCUAAAGCCUCUCCUUGAUUCCCAAAUCCAGCAUAUCCUUGAGAGUCUUUUCUUUAGUCGGGUAAGUCUUGCUGAGUAAUUCCAUACUCAGGGUUUUAUUCCCUGUUGUUUUUCAGGUCAUAGUUUUGUGCUGCUGAUGAUGGUGUUAAGUGCCGGUGGGCUCGGCCUUCUUAUAAGUCUAAGUAAUCCUUCUAUACUUCUUAAUGAGGAUGGUCACUUGAACUAGCAUAUAUUUCAAAACUAUAAAUAAUUUAUAACCGUUCAAAGUUUCUUUGUUUGAAUCAAUGUAGUAAUCACUCUGAUCAUGUACGAAGUAAAAUUUUUGUAACUUGUAAAAUUUGGUAAUAAGAUUUCCGCUGCAAAAUAUUGGUGUGUGUGAUUUGUAUUACUUAAUCCCGCGGUUCUGGUUGUAAGUGGUUUAUCCGGUGUCCGUGGGGCAAUCGGACGGAUCCUGUUAAGUUAUCUGGUGCACAUGCAUGGCCGUCUGAGUUCUUUGAGACAAGGACAGGUGCAUGUGGGCCCGAUACCUUGGGAGGUUCUGCCACAGCUGGUAUCAGAGCAGGAUUAAGUAUAUACGGUCACAUACGUAUUUUCAAAACAAAAGUUUUGGUUUUAGAAAACCUAUUUUCAACUAAACACAUUGUUUGGUUUUGAAAAAAAAAUAGUUUUGAAAAACUAUAAUGCUAGCGACAUCCUCUAUUAAGCCCUAAGUUAAGGACUAUCAGGUGGCUUAGUUCAAAACCACUAACCCACAACCGGGUGGGUAUUGCAUACAUGUGUAUUGUUAUUUUUGAGGCCAUUCAGUUCUGAAUGGAUCGACGCUCAAGGUAAGGUGAGAUGUGAGAGUAUGACCGAACAACCGUCGGUCUAGGGGAGUGCUUAAUUGUGGCGCUUGAUUAUAUACAUGUUUUAAAUAUGUAUAUAUGAAGGCUGCGAUGUGGAGUAAUUACUUUUCCGGGAAUUCAGUACCCCAUGGAUGUGUAUGGGUAUACAGACAUGGGAAUACUAAGAAGUGUAAUGUACUUGCAACGACGCACCUACGCUCAGGUAAGAAGGUGAGUUACCAUAAUGAGUUGCCCUAUGGUAAAAGUGUGGCAACGGCGCCUAUGCGUGGCUCGGUGCUUAAUGAUGAGCUGGCCUCCAUAUAGAAAUAUGUGGAGUAUAAACUGUGAUAAACUGUCAUGUGUGAAUUGCAUCAUUGGGAAAUUGGGCUGUGAUGGAAUUUUCUGCAGGUACACUAACCUCGAAAACGUAUGUAUAGUUGACGACUAGCAAAAUACCGUGAGAGUCGCAAGUAUGCCACCGAUAUAGAACGCUAUCGCCACAUUAUGUUGGCAAAAUCAGUGAGGACGAAUAAGACGAGCAUGCAUCCUGAUUGUUGCAUUAUGUUUGUCACCUAUACACCCAAUGCUUCUCUCAUCCGUAUUCCAGAAACCGGUGAUUGUAGAUAAUCUGGUGUAAUGUUGAAUUAUGAACUUCGAUAAAAUAGUUGUUCUCCGUUCCUUAGGUAUUAUGUUUAGAUGCUAUAUGUGUGCUCUUGUGCUUAAUGUGUCGAUAGAAGGUUAGUGACUUGUUUGCCUAAACCCAAAUCUAGGCCAUGUUCUUAGUUGGUGAACCAUGACCAAAGUUGAUUUUUCCGUUACCCCUCCUUGAUCCAAACUUAUACAAAUAAAUGUUUAGAUAAUUUCUUCGUUGGACAAAAAGGGUACUUAAGCUUAAAAUAAGAAUCUCGACUCAUAUUUUCAUCUUAGACCAUGCCCUUAUUCGAUUGGCGCAAGCUGAUAUCCCUAAUUCCAGCUUGCCUGUUCUUGAUAAUCACAUCAUUGUUUUAUCGACCCAACCUAGGAAGGGCAUGUCUCAUCAUUUUCUUGAGUUUGAUGCCUUUGAUUUCCUCAUUUCUAUCGAAGGCAUAUCAACUUAAUCUCAUGAUUAUUUUUACUCCGCAUCUAGUCAGAUACUAAUCCUUGACCUUGUAAUCUCUAUGAUGGGCAUAGAAAUAUGCUUGGGCUGAAAUAACAGUCUCCCAUCAUACUUCUUUCAUCAAGCUUAGGUUAUGGCCAUGUCUUGUUCGAUCCAUCGGGCUGUGAUCUAUUUGGCUCUCUACUUGUAACCAUUCUUUUAAGUGGAGUCUAUUUUUGUAUAUUGUCAUCCUUGCUCAAUCCAGUUGUGUCGUGUGAGAUUUCUUAUUGGUUACGUCUAGUAAUGGUGUUAUGACUAAAACCGUUGGUGCCGUGACAAAACCGAGGGCCUUCUGUGUGUGCGCACACUCGGUUGUGCUGCUCGGCACGCGCUGGUAUCAUGGUUAGUAGUUGUAAUCCAUUAUGAGACUAUGUCAAUGUGUUAUCUUGUCACAAUCUAGAUUUACCAUGCGGGAUUCUGUGUUGGUGCUAGUUCGGUGAUGGUGUCAUGGUUAAGGACUUAUGGUGCCGCAACGAAACUGAGAGCCUCCUAUGAAUGCGCACACAAGACUGUGCUACUCGUCGAAUGCUGGUAUCAAGGUCUCUAGUCAUGAUCCAUUGUGGAACUACACUGAUGUGUGAUCUUCCAUAGAUAUCUUCCUUGAAACAAUUUCGGUGUUGUUUGUCGAAGGGAUCAAGCAACAUUUGUCAUCUUUGUUAGAUCAAAAGGGCAUACCCCUUUCAUGUGUGGUCUCUUUUCCCUUGACUUUGGUGGUGACUACACACAUACAAGUUCCCUUUACGUCCUUUGUGUAAAGGUGAAGCCUUGGAGCUUUUUAGUGUCGAGAGACAACUGAUUAGCUCUCAAAAUAGAGAUUGGAUUUCCCCUGCUGCUGAAAUGCAGGAGUUUGUUCAUUCGCUCUCUUAUUUAAUUCAUGUAUUCCCUAACCAAGUGGGUAAUGUAUCUUUCAUGGAAGAAAUGGAUGAACAACCUAACCAAAUGACCCAAAUACAUGAUCUCCUAAUAGAAAAUGUGAACUCUCAACCCUUGGCUUAUCGAUGGUACUGAGAGGACAUGUCCAAUGUCAAAAAUAGUUCAACAAGUUGGUUUUGACUAACUUGUAACUGCCCAAUGAACGAAGGUUGAGUUUAGAGAUCGUUUUAUCGAGUUGUCUAAACUCACUUUGGUUCAACCCAUCCUGAGAAAGUACUUACAAAAAUCAAGAUUAAGUCGGCCAAUAACCACCUAAUUAUCGCUCUAGUCAUGCCUCGACCGCCUCACGCGUGCUUUUCCAGCGUGUGUGAUCAUGUCGAGCCAUGCCUAGUGCUUGAUAAAAUGGAUUGGUCGCAAAGUCAACAUCAACGGAUCUUUCAUGGAUAUUUUCUCGAGUCUCUAUCAUUUUCAUGGACUUGGAUUCUUUGGCUAACACGAAUUGACUGUGAUGUUAUUCGGCAUUUACACCCGUCUCGUGUGCUAUGAACUUACCAUGAUGACUUGUUGGUAAACCUCUUUCUGUGUGUUUUACCCAAGAGGUUGCAUCUGGUUCUGUUUGGGUAAAGUCGCAUAUCUACCACUCGCUCAACAGACUCAGAUAGUAUAGUGUCAUCAAAAAAAGUAAACUGCACACAUGGAACCUUAUGUGUACUUCUGACAGACAUCGUCUCUAUUGGUGGACAUUUCUAAAUUAGCCUAAGGCGACACAUGUUAUGUCCACUAGAUGAACGACAUUUUGAGACACCUGACUUUGUUUGGAUCUGUCUCAUGAUUAUCGCUGAUAUGGACAUGAAUUACAUGCUUCUCAACUCUUAUAAGUCUUUCGUUCUGAAUCUCGGGACGAGAUUCUUUUAAGGGGGAGGGCUGUAACACCCCUGGUGUUUAUAUUCCGCUCGACAACGAGUAUGGAUUUAAGCACGAAAUAUCAGUAGAUAAAAUGGAUACUAAAUUUUAAUCAUCUUCACUUAAACGAUUUUGAUAUCGUCUUUAUCUUUGCCCAUUUGGAUUAAUCUAAAUGGUUUGCGAAAUUUGGAACGUAUUUAUCAUAUGAGCUAUCGAGAUUUGCCCCUAUUUAAAAUUAAAUCAAAUACAAUCUUUACUAGUUGGACUGGUAUCUUUUGUUUUGUUCGAUUUACAUCUCGCACAGACUUAAUCUAAGAACUAAAUCUUUUGUGUAGUCUUUUGUAACAAAAAAAAAAGAAUUGAGAAGGAAAAAUCAUUUUCUCCAACUGUUGACCGAUGGCCUUAUCCUCUCCCUCUGAUUUUACUCACACAAUUAGUUCCUACGCAGUUCCCCUUCAGCUUGAUUUUUUUCAGCCUCAUCCUUCCAUCGCUCUCUCUCUAAUAUUUUCUUUUGUCGUGCGUCCUGGUGUAGCUCGUGCUGGCUUCUCCUCGCCACGGUCUCCACCAGCUGCAUUUUUCCAACGCCUUCCCUUGGUCUGAUCCUCAACGUGCUUGGACUUUUCACCAGGGAAAAUAUCCCACAGCCAAUCUCUAUCCUCGUCGCUCGCUGUAGAUUUUUCUGCCAUGAUUUUUUUCCUGCUCGCGCGCGUCUUAUCUUCUCCAGCCGCAGUGUCCAUCUCCCCUGCGUCCAGCAGAGCUUCAGCCUUAUCUUCCACCUUGGGCGUCUGCUUCAAAUGCUCCGGCUCGGACGCCCAUCUCCUUUGCUCCCGGUGGUGGAUCUUCUGCAAUUCCCCCUACAGCUUCCUCCCCGGCCCCUUGUUUUCCCCAUGGCUGGAGCCUCUUCCAGCCGUGUGCCAGUCCCCAGCUCCUUCCCUGCGGCGCCCGCUCCCUUCUCUGCUUCCCCUGCUUGUUUCUAUGGCGCGCACCCAUAUGCUCUGCUCGCUCGUCGCCGUAGCCCCUGGUCCCAGCUCUGGCGCGCCUGCUUCCUGGCUCGCCUGCGCGUGCGUUAACUCCCUCUGCCCAGGCGCCCCCUCACUGGAUCCCCUCCAUUUAUGACCAGCGCCACUUCCUGGUCCAAGCUCCCUGGUUCUUUUCCCUGUGCGUCCAGGCGUCGAAGCUCCCUGCACUCACCUGGCGCUCGCCCCUGACCUCCCAUGGCUGUCUGCCCCAGCUCGGCUUGGCCCUCUGUUCGGCGUGUUUGCCCCUGCAGAGUCGGCCCAGCCUCCAUUUUUCCCCAGCCCGGAUCUCCCUGCUCGCCUUGCUCCUCCGGCGCCGCGGUUUUCUGCUCGCUUGGCCGGCCAUGGUGGCUGUGCAUGCCUCCUGGCCAUGGACGGUUUUGGCCCAGGCCACCGUCGCGCCCAGAGAAAUGGUGCGCGUCCCUGCGCCCGGUUUUCGUUUCUGUGGCGCCGAUCUGUGCUCCGUCCUGGCCGUCUUUUCUGCCUCCAAUCUUGGCGCCGUCGCGAAGCUCUUUGUUCGUCGUCAUCGCUCGGUCGCACAACAGGCUGAUUGCGUGACGUGUGUCGCACAUCCUAGGUCCUUGUCGUCGGGUUUCGUGCGUGCUCGCGUUUACCGUCGAGUCGUCGAACCCGUCAUCCUCUGCUCAAACUCCACCUCACCAGCUCGCUUCAAACACGAUCUCGUCGUCAAGCUUCGCCUUAGCCUUAUCUCGUCGGUCACGCUCGCCAGAUGUUCGAUCAAGGACUUCAGCCGAAGGAUGUCAUCGUUCAGGCAACUACCAAAUCGAGUUGUGAUGUGGUGAGCUGAUUCGCUAUUUUUACUAUCGGUUUUAUGAUCGUAAAAUAAGACGCUACGUAUGCGCAUACGAUUAAGUUAGAAAUACCAGUAAGGCGAGGUGUGCUUCGAGGAGUUUAGUUGCUGAAUAUAUUCGAACUAGUUCUAUUUUGUAUAAUAUAGUAUUUCG
rnacentral:lncRNA from 1 species